GACGCGUAUUGUGAUGUGUGUUUUCUCAUUUAUUUUUUUUUUUUUGUUUUUUUGUUCUCAGAUAUGCGUGCGAUACAUAUGUGUACGUACGUCUAUAUAUGGUGUGUGCAUCUGCUCUCGAUCGCCCUCCUUUAUCAACCUCGCGCAAUAACAGAGAAAAUUCUUAAUCUCGAUACACAUGUGUUUAAUAUUAUAUUGACACGGUGCGCGUUUCGAGAAAAGAAACUUGACUUUAAGCUUUUGAAGUUUCUUUCCUUGCAACAAAAAGAUGUCGAGUAAAAAUAAAUUACUCGAGAGAGAGAAAAAAUCGACGUAUAUAAACUUUAAUUUUUGUUUUCGAAAUUUUUAUUUUUGCUCGUUGUUUUUUUUUUUUUCUUGCAAUGACGGAAAUCAUUGACGGAAAACGACAAGAAAACGCAACGAUCUUAGCAAAAAGUGUUGUUUCGAAAUACUCCGACGAAAAACAAAUGCACCGUGACGCGUGCUCUCGUGUACAUACGUCCUCUUCUCUCGUCACACCCCAAUUGGCCCCAAAAAACUAAGAGGAUACCGUGUGUUUUACGCUUUUACGUAUAUAUCUUCACUUCGCUCCUUUUAAGUAAAUUGCUCUUUUAGUUUUUCGCUUUUUCGUUUCGAUUUCGUAUCUCAUUUAAUUUCGUCAUUUUUUUUUUUUUUUAUCGAAGCUCGAUUUUACAGCACACACACUUCCGUCUCGCCCUCGACAAAAGAUUCUCUCCUAUUGGAUUUGAAUCUAUUAUAUCUAUAUACAGAGAGAGUGUGUUGUGUCCCGGGCGAUUUCCGCCGAAUUGCGGAAUCGCUUCGGCGAUAAUUUGUCGGUCGAUUUGUCAUUAAAGAAAGUUCUCAAUCGGUAGCUAAUCGGUUUCCUCGACGUAACGUUUUGUCGAAUCGAAGAUUUUUACUGCACGGGCGUUUUUAUUCGAUGUAUGAUAUUUUUUUAUACUUGCCUUUCUCUUUUUUUUUAAAUUUGGAUGGUUUUCUUUUUUUGUUUUUUGUUUUUUUUUUUUUUAACAAAGCACGAAUAUCCGAGAGAGAGACUUUCUUCUUAACUUUCGUUAAGAUCCUCUAAAAUCUAGGUUUGGCGAUCUCGGCGUUCUCGUUAAAGAGCAAUCGACACCCUCCCUUCCCCCACGUUAGUCGAGGAUCCGGGAAUCCGAGAGAAAAAACACCUUGUACAUACCUAUAUACACAAUCUACCUACUUAGUCGCAAAGAUCUACAUCUGACAGCCCAAACACGUGCGUGUGAUACUUUUGACGUUUCUUGAAUUCUUUUCUAUUCUCGCGCGGCAGCGGGAGAUGGUGGAUUGAACUUCACCGUGCUCUUCGCCGUAUGAUUAUUUAAAUUCGCCGUAUAUGAUUAUUUAACGUUUAGAACACUUUAUUGCACUUUUCUUAUUACAAAGAAACGUAGUAACGUAGCACGUAGAUCUUUAUGACGAAGUCUGCGCAAUGUAUGCUCGUAUACAAGGCCUGUUCUACACAGUAUGUAAAGUCGUCGUGUUACGCGUAUAUGUCCAUAUACGUGUAUAUAGAACUCCAUUUUAUAAAACUACUAAGUCUUGUAAUAUUAACAACCUGGUCUAGAGAAAACAUGUUAUUGAUUUCGCGUAGAAUUCGUAACAUAUUCGCUAGAGAGAGAGAGUCAGUGGUAUGAUAUUAUUACACAAGACUCUCGUACUUUUAUGAAAUUAGGUUUCUGUCUUCGUGGUCUUCUGCGCCGGCCUAUUGGUCGAAUUGAGACAUAAAAGCGACAUCCGACUUAUUGUAGAACAAGUCUAAUAGGUGUUAAAGUGUCGAUGCGUGGACGUUUGUGUGUCAGGUGGUGUGUGUUGUUUCAUAUUUGAUAUAUAAUAUGUUCUAUUCUAUUUUUUUUUGUUUUUAUUUUUUAUUUUUUUUUUUUUAUACUCUUUGUCUAACUACUUUUUGAGUGUCUGCGAAACUGGUACUCCCCUCCUCGUAAUUGGGAGGUAUAUGCUACGCGUUUAAUCGCGACCGAUCAAUCUGAUAUAUAACAAGUGAUUUAAAAAGUAGCGUAGUAGAGACUUUGUUUGCUCUUUUUUAUAAUUUUCGUAAUAAUUUUUAUUUUUUAUUUUUUUUUGUUAAAAUUUGAGGGAUAUGCCCGCAAAAAAUGCUCCACCUCUCCGACUAGAUUAAUUUUUUUUUUCCUACUAAUAAUAUAGUAGUAAUAAUAAUAAUAAUAAUAAUAAUAAUAAUAAUAAUAAUAAUAACAAUAAUAAUGCGUAAUGUGUUUUACAUCUUUAUAUAUCGGAAUAUAAUAUCUGAAUAUAGAAAAUCUUAUAUACAUCUUUACACUUAGGAAUGCUUUCUCUCUCUUACGCAUAAUAACGAUUAUUUAAUAAACACGUUACACGCUACGAUUUGUUUUUCUUUUACGGCAUAUCAUUUAAUAAAUUAAGUUUUCUUUCGUAAAAAAGGUGACUCGCGCCCGCGGGGUGUCUCGUGCUUCGCGUCCGAGUGCUCGUCGUGUUUUUUAAUAAGUUUUUUCUUUUUUUUUUUUUUUUCAGCCCGCGGAUUGACGAGCACAAUCUCGUCAUAUUUGUAUACCACGUAAUAUUAUCACAAAAAAAGGAGCGCACACACACGCAACAUAGAUUUAUCAUAUGGCGCGUACACGCAUAGGGUAACAGGCUCGUCGUAAUUCGCGGCUGUGUUCGUACAUCAGACGCGUCGUGUAAUCGUCGAGAGAGAGAGAGAUCUCACGCGCGUCGAAACGACUCUCUCGUCAAACUCCCGAGGAAUUGAGACGCAUGCGGCCAGGAUAUAAAAUGUUUGUUGAAUGGAUCUCGCUCUGAAGAUUGCGCGGAAACCUAAACGUUAUCUCUUGUCACGUUAUCCGCCGUUCCGCCGAAGGACUCAACUCGGCGAUCCGCAGCCGCUGACGAAAUUGCGUCGCGCCAUUAGGUCGCUCGAUUUUUCGACACUCGCGCGACAAUCGCUGAUCAAAAAAAAAAAAAAAAAAAAAAAAAAAAAAAAAAAUUUAUCACGGUGUUACCGCGAGAACGAUCAAAUUCGAAGUCGAUUCACCGGAGAGAUAUGUUACAACGAGUCCGUAGGAGCCGCGAACUACGACGAGCGUGCGCGCGGUUAAAGCUAUUGGUAGCUCAAUUGUUGCACUUCGUUGCUUGCCAAUCCGCGAGCCGAAAUUCGAAGUACGUAGGCGAAGCACGAGAGCCACGUGCGGUAACUUGAAUAUAUAUCCGAUGAAUCGACUUUCGUUUUGAUCGUUUUUUUUUUUUUUUUUUUUUUGAGGACGAUUGCAACGUAACGAUUUUGAACCAGGCUGAUGCGCAAGCGUCGACGAGGCGCAACGACGUUGCAAGCCUUUUCAUUGGAAAACUCGUCCUCGACGAUCGCUCUUCUCUGUGCGAGAAUCAUCCCGAUCACCAAUGACAUCUCGAUUCCGGAGACAGUCUGUCGAUCGAAUCGUCGGUACAGAUUCAAUGACGAGCCUCACCGUGACAGACUCCGGAUUUACGGCACGAAAACGUAUCUAUCUCUCGUUUACGACGACAAUGGCGAUAAUUACCUAAGAUGAAGCGAGGUAAAGCACGCUUAAUAAUCGCGGUACAGCGAUAUAUAUAUAUAUAUAUUCAACUAUGUAUUAUUAAGUGGUAUACAAGGUAUACGCACGAGAACGACGUUCGUUCCAACGCGUCGUAAUAUCAACGAGAUAUGCUUCUUCGCUGUAAUCACGGUCGACGUAAAAGGGAAGGAAAAUUCUUCGUGUGUGACGUUCGUUUCGCCGGAAAAUACAGGCCGGAGUCGAGAAUACCGAGUAAAAAAAAAAAAAUAAAAAAAAAUUAGGCAACACGAAACAAAUUUCGGUUCAACAAACAUUUUGCUUCUGUCGAAACCGAAUAUCUUAGCGAAUUGAAAUCAAAAUUUCGCAAUCAUUAUCGAAAACGAAGACUUUCAUCUUUUAAUUAAUUUUUGUUUUUAGAAAGAAAAUGGAAAACACAAAAAGCCGCGAGAUAAUAAGCCGUCGAAUGAGUUUACACGUGUAAUUCGUUGGAUAAGAUUGAAUCAUCUCUCAUCUUCAAUAGAGAAAAAACCGAGACUCUUAGAAAUGAGUCGCUAGAAUUAUCGACACAACUAUCCCACUAGUCCAUUGUGUGAUCGUACGUAUAUGUACAUCAACCGCCAUACAACCACCCUUGAGACAUCGUUCGAGGGCCGACUAUAAAUACGGUCCUUCACUCAACACGUCGAGUAGUCGAGACACGUUCAAGUGCAGGCGACGGAUCAUCGUCGUCAUUAUCAACAUCAUCGUUAGCCUCGGCGCGCGACGCGCGUGUUAACAUCGAUCGACAUCGACGUCCGGCGACGCGAUGGCGUCGCGACGGAGGACGUCGAAGAAACUCCCGGUUCUUGUCUCUUUCGGCAUAUGUAAUAAACGUAAAUGCGGACAAUAGAGAUAGAGAGAAGUCGCAGAAUCACGCGCGAGAGACAAUCGCGGACAACACGUACGUUCGACGAGCUUCUCCGAGCAAAAAAAAAACAGAGAAGGGAGAUCGCACAAGUAGGGAGCAAAGGGGGAGGAAACAUGUGUAUAAUUAUAGCUAAUUAUACUUCGUCGGAAAUUUCUCGCGAGAAUUUCCUAAAAAAAAAAAAAAACAUCUCC